rfam:Ictidomys tridecemlineatus contig103537, whole genome shotgun sequence.
AGAGUUGUGGCUCAGUGGUAAAGUGCUUGCCUAGAACGCAUGGGGCACUAGGUUCGAUCCUUAGCACCACAU